GAUAGCUCAGUUGGUAGAACACAAGACUCUUGAUCUCAGGGCUGUGAGUUCCAGCCCCGCAUUGGCA